rnacentral:rRNA from 1 species
GAUGAACGCUCGCGGCGUGCCUAAUACAUGCAAGUCGAGCGAACAGAUAAGGAGCUUGCUCCUUUGACGUUAGCGGCGGACGGGUGAGUAACACGUGGAUAACCUACCUAUAAGACUGGGAUAACUUCGGGAAACCGGAGCUAAUACCGGAUAAGAUUUUGAACCGCAUGGUUCAAUAGUGAAAGACGGCCUUGCUGUCACUUAUAGAUGGAUCCGCGCCGUAUUAGCUAGUUGGUAAGGUAACGGCUUACCAAGGCAACGAUACGUAGCCGACCUGAGAGGGUGAUCGGCCACACUGGAACUGAGACACGGUCCAGACUCCUACGGGAGGCAGCAGUAGGGAAUCUUCCGCAAUGGGCGAAAGCCUGACGGAGCAACGCCGCGUGAGUGAUGAAGGUCUUCGGAUCGUAAAACUCUGUUAUCAGGGAAGAACAAACGUGUAAGUAACUGUGCACGUCUUGACGGUACCUGAUCAGAAAGCCACGGCUAACUACGUG